rnacentral:piRNA from 1 species
UGUGUAACGCUAUUUCUUUUUAAAAAAC